AGCUGCUCAGGGUGGAAGAGCUGGCGGUACGUGCCAGUGCGCACCUCAUCGAUCACAGUGGGUUCUAGAUCAACGAAGAUUGCACGGGGAACGUGCUUCCCAGCACCAGUCUGGCUGAAGAAGGUGCUGAAGGCAUCAUCGUGAUGUCCCGCGGUCUUAUCUCCAGGCACUUGGCCAUCAGGCUGCGUGAAAUAGAAAGGUGUUUAAUGUGGUUCAGAUCAUAAAACGAUCAAAGGAACAUGAUUGCGAGGUGCCAUUAGUGUAAUAAGUAUUUGAAUCAGAAGGCAGGCGAGCAUCUCAAAUUCAUAGGAGAGAGAAAUUUCAGUACAGUCGUAUUACAGUUGCACAGCACAAACUAGAACUAAAGCGUCAUUCCUGCAUCAGAUCUGAGAAAUGGGAACAACAUGGGUAAAUUUUACAGAAUCAGAGCUUGAGUCACGAAAUAUUGCAGUUGUACAGCACAAAAGAAAGCAUCGUUCCACUGGAAAAUUUUGGAUCAGGCCGAAGAAAUGAAAACAACAUGAGUAAAAGUUACAGAAUCAGAGCUUGAUUCACGAAAUAGUAAAAGGCGAAUUCAAUCAAUUCCUAGUCGACAAUAACAGAAACAAAGAUAGCGCAGUUCAUCCACACACAAACCAGAUCCAAACCGGUCACGGAACGGCAGAUGACUUAUUACGACAUCGCAAUCUGUCAAGAAUUGGCGUGACCAUCAACAAAUACGAGAUGCCAAAUUCGAUCGGAACAUCCUGUUAUUUCUGCCGCAAAGUAUUAACAAACGAAAUCCACGAUACACCUAAAACACAGGAUGGUGGCAGCUUAAAUCGUGCAGGAAAUUUCAGAUCCUAGUAGUACUAGCAACAGAUCUGACGAAAAAAAAACCCUAACCUAAGCCACUUCAGUACUUCACCCCGAUUCGAGUACUAACGCCCUGCAACUGCAAAUUGCAGCACUCCUCGACGACAGAUCAGAAAACAAUCGAAGAUGGUGAUGGAGAUGCUUUUCAAGGAAGAGAAUACGAGCCGGUCGCACCUGGAUGCCGUGCUCGAGGCAGUAAAGUUCCCAGCACGCGUUGCCGACUUGGAUGCCGGCCUGCCCGAUGUGGACGGAGAUGCACUCCCUCAUCUUCCUCCUCUCCUCUCAAACAACCGCGCGCGACGCCUUCGGAAGAGACCGAGACUGGCGUGAAGGUCGAUCGGUGGGCGGAAUGGGGAAUUGAAGAUCUGUCGGGCUCGGGCGAGAGUUUGCGCCGGCGUUUGUGAAGACGCCGAG
rnacentral:lncRNA from 1 species